UAAUCAAACCAAAAUGAACCCAUAAGAUAUGUAGUCGUUAUGUAGAUUGUUCUGGACUAAAAUAUUAUCCACUAUAAAGUUAGUAUUAAUCAAUCAUCGAUAAAUGACUUCCACACUUAUAAUAUAAUCAUCUUGUUUUGUAUCUUUCUUUUUAUCUUUUAAAUUUUUGCUAUUCUUUUUUGGUCUAAAUGUUAAAUAAAUUUUUGCUAUUAACAAGAAGAUUUUUCACAGUUUAUUUAUAAUAUUUUUCGGCCAGAAGUAUAAAUGUAUAAUACGCAAAAUCGUGACAUAUUGUAUUUUUUUUGUUUUAUGAGUUUGGAUAUAGCACUUAUUAAAUGUAUAUUUUCUGGUGUAAGGUUAGCUCUAAUGAGGCACCAAAACACUAAAAUUGGCGUAAUCCUACAUGCUGGUCGGCAUUGUAUUUGUACAUACACACGUAAAACAAACGUAUAUUCUCACACAUAUAUGAGAUAUGUGUAUGUGUGGAGAUGAAGAUUGAUGGAAAAAUAUUGAAGAAAAUGGUUAAAAGAACAGUGAAUAAAAGUUUUGACAAGUAAGGGUCUCAUUAGUAGUUUUGAAUUAAAGGAAAUAUCAUUUUUUUCAGAUGCGGUUAUGUGUCAUUGCAUUUUCUACACACACGCAUAAGUACUUUGUUUUAAAUAUUAUCAAAUUUUAAGAGAUUUCAGCAAUUUGAAAAAUGGUUGCAAGUAGAAUUUCAGUAGUGGCAUAGAAAGGUGUUGUUCUCGUGAUUGACCGGUCAAAUAAGUUUAUUUCUUACGUGGAAAAUAAAAUUCAUCCGUCCAAAUUAAUAAAAAAAUAAACAUAGCUAUUGGUAAUUUGGUAUAGAAUAGAUGAAUGAAGUAAAAUAUGUAAAUAACCGAUCAACGAUGCAACAAUUAGUUAGGAAAAAAAAGAUGUAGCAAUUAGAAUGCCCUCAGUCAAAAAAAAAUGUAACAAUUAAUUACAUUUGUUGCAUAAAGGAAUGUAAGAAUGGCCAACGUGGGUUCGGAUAUGCAGUUUGACAUGACGUCGUCUCUCUCUCACACUCGGAUACAACACAAAACACAACUCUCAAAGACAAAAACGUUGAAAUGUGUAGCCGGAAUCGUCUUCUCCAUUUGUCAUUAUCAUCCACAGUUUUUACCUAUUUCUCAUAGUCGACGUGGAGAAAUUCAUUACAUUUUCUUGGACACUAGCAAAGGUAAACAAAAUGUUGCAGCACUUGUCGCGGGCACUCUCUUGCUUUUAGCUCUUCAAUGGGAAAAACGAGAGAAAGAAUGAAAGAAAUAUUUUUUUCCUUUAAUUUUAGGAAUGUGAUGAAUGAUGUACCAUUUAUAUUUACAAAUAUAAAUGAGAAAAUGACAUAUCAAAAUGUCAAUGCACCAAAAUUUUCCAAAUACCUACUAAAGAUUCUUUGUUUUUUUUAAAUCUAAUUAAGAUCUAAGUACUUUGUAUUACAGCGGCCUUAAUUGAUUUGCUUGAGUUAGAAUGUCGAUUGUAUUUGUUUUGACUCUUGUUACAAAAUGACAAUUAUUAAAGCAAUAAAAACACACAAAGAAAAAGUAGGUUUGAACUAGUUGACUAAUUGACAUAACUUUAUUUCGAAAGCGAGUCACAAAAAGUGACUUUCCCCCCACCCCCUUUUUUUACCGGAAUAUAAUUAGUUAAUUGCUUUUACAAAUGCUACAUAUUAUAAGUUUAUACUAGACUUGACGAUAAAACUAGUGUUCAAUGUGUUUAUACGGCACGAUAGAGAUUUUGAUAAAUAAACAGUUCAACAUUGUUGUGUGUGUCUUUUUAUUGCAAAAAUUUCUAGGCCAAAAUUCGUAAUUUCUUUGCAUCAGAGACACAGUUGUUAAAUUUUCUCUUUAACUAUUGAGACUCGAAUAUGACAUCUUUAAAAUAAAAAAAACUUUACCAGCAGAAUUAGUAGCUCCGGAUAACAUUUACGUACAACGAUGGAACUGUAUAUUGAAAAUCAGUCACUAGUAAUUAGAAAUUCAUCGUAUACGCAUGACUAGCUCAAUAAUUUUAGGGGCUUUAAGGCAAAAAUAUCUUUAAAUCCUUAAAAAUAUUAAAUUUUCAGAAUAAAUUUAAAACUAUUAUUAGUAACUUUUUAUAAAAUUUAUGUUAAAAUUUAUAAAAUAUAUAUCAUAUAAAAAAUCUGAUCACCCUUAACUAGUAAAAAUGGGAGGAGACAAAAAAUUGGAUGCGAGACCAAUGGUACUGUUUACCCCAUCUAAACCGGUACUACUUAUACUGUUAAAAAUGGUAAUGAAAUUUGAGAAAAAACUAAAUUUUGAAUAUUGAAUGAUUCUUAAAUAUUGUAAGCUAUCAACAAAAAAUGCAAGAAACUAUUGGCAAAAGUUCAAAGCAAAAAAAAAAUGCAUUGGUUUUUAAAAAAAAUUGUUUGUAGAAAAAGAGAUUGAAAAUUACAACUAGAUAAUACCUAUAUACAUGUCCAUUGUACAUACGUGUCCCCCAUUUUUGUAUAACAAUGUUAUGACUGAUCAUUUAAUAUAAAAGAAACUUAGUCGGAAAAAAAAAGAUAAUACCUAUAUAUUAAUAAUACUUCAUAUGUUUCCGAAAGUAAGAUAAUUUAGAUUUUUUACUUAUUCCACAAAGAUAGAUUUUAUAUAUGUUUAAGGUAUUUUUUAUAUUUUUAAGAAACAUUAAAUGAAAAUAUUUGAAUUGAUUAAAUUUUAUUGGUGAAAAGUUAUUGAAAAGUGUAUAAUAAAAUAAAAAAAAUUAAGUUAUAAAUAUUUAUUGAAUUUUUAAUAAGCGUGAAAACUUUACAAAAUUACACUAUAGCUUUAAAAAAAACAGUUUAGCUGAGAAAAGUAAAGAAAUAAGAAACUGUUGAGCUUAAUUAUUGCGUGAGAUAGAAUAGUUAGAACUGCCAGUUUCAUUAAAGUGAUUUGAUUUGUUUCGUGAAAACAAUGCAGACAUACUAUUAAUCUCAAUUUUUAUGUUGAACAAAAAAAAAAAAAAAAAAAAAAGAGUAUUAAUGAUUGUUUAUAGAAAAGAGUAUUAAUGAUUGAUUAAUGAAUAACCAGAUUUGCUUCUCUUUCUUCCUUCUUGACCAAAACGUUUACUGUUAUAAAACAUGACGAAGACAUCUUGUCUACGUCGUUAAAUUGAAAUCAAUCAAAGUAAACGUUUUCUUAAGUUUUGAGAAAAAGCAAAAAAAAAACAAAUUAUGAAACUUUUUGCCCAGUAAAAAUUAAAAUCUAAGUCGAAUACAUUAAAUUUUCAAAAAAACUUCAAAUUUAACCAAAAGCAAAAUUCUAAAAAACUACUAAUAACUGAAUGUUUGCACGAGAAACAGUAUUCAAGUAAUCUUAAGAUGCUAAAUGGACAGUGACCCAAUGCCUAGCAUCUAAAACGAUUAAAUGGACACCUAGUUAAAAGGCAUAGGCGUUUAUAAAUUAUAAAUAUAUAUUAAAUAUAUGUAAUAUUUUAUAUUAAUAUCAUUAUUUAUAAAUAAAGAAUUUUAUAUUAGUUAUUUUUGUAAGAGUUAUAUAUCAUAAUAUAUUAAUUCUUAUAAUUUAUAAAUUAGUAAGUAAAAAAUUAUUUAUUAAUACAAUAUUGUAAUUGUCUAGACGAGUUGGAAGGUAAUCGCCACGGUAUUACAAGGUCUAGUGUCUAAGAGUCGCCUAUACCACUUUUUUGGAACACUGCCAACAAGGUAAUCAAGUAGUCAAUUCUCUUUAUAGCAAAUAAACAAAAAAAGUUUUUUUUUGGUAAAAACAAAAGAAAAAAAAAGUUGUAAACCCUUCAUCGUGUAAAAUUAAAGGUCACAUGAUGAAGGCACCAAUAAUAAUUUCUAUCUAUACAAAAGUGUACGACAAAUGACAAUGCGGAGAUUUUGAGUUAAACCACAAAAAAGUUCUCGAGGGAAAUGAGCAAGGAAAAAAUUAGUAUUCUAUGGACCAUUUCACGAAGCUCAACUACUCGAAACUUGCAAUUAGUUAAAAUGAUAAACGAAUUCUAAAAUAUACUGUAUUAUACUGAUAAAACCUCGAAUUGUCGGUAAAAACACACUUAUUCUAAUAAUUUCGUAAAAUGAUUAUUACUGCUUAAAUUCGGCUUGUGAUUUAAGUAUUAGACAAUACUGUUUCUUAGAGUAUGAUUAACCCUAGUUUUUUAACUGGAGUUAUUAACUUAUUAUUUGACAUUUUUUAUAUUUUUUAGCUAAGAAACUGUUCUAAUAUCUUUUAUUUAAGAGACGAUUUUUAAAUUUUCUUAGAUUUUAAUUUUUUUAGUUAAAAUCUUAGUUAAAAUCUAAGAAAAAUUAAUAAUUGAUUCUUAGCCGAAACUAAAAAUUCUAAUUAAAAACUGAGGUAAAUGAUGGUCUUACUUUUUUACAAUUGAGUCAAACUUUUUCAUAUAUCCCAUCACACUUUAAAUGAAGCGUUCGCUAUGAUCCUUCGUAUUAUAGAUGAGACAGCUCAUUCGUGAUAACUAUAUUAAUUCGUCAUAAAUGGUAGAAUCACCGUUGUAAGUUCUCUUGUUUAGCAUUUUAUAUUCGUAUAUGUAUGGUGUAAACUGGUGUUAUAUAUAUAUUACGGUGGCAUUUGGUUAUAUUUUGAAGCCGUGUUAUUUUUAUAAAAAAAAUUGUUCGCCUUCUGUUUCAUAGUAUUACUUUAUUGUUGUUGUAAAACAAUUUUUUUGUUAUAAAUAAAUUUCGUUUUAAGAAUUUUAAUACAAUUUUAUUUUUUUAAUUUAUGUAAAAUAUGGUUAGAUAUAUAAAUGAUGAUAUUUUUUAAAAAAUACACAAAUUAAAUAUUUUCCAAAUUUGUGUGAAGAAAUUUGAAAUGACACUUAUGGAAUACAUCCUUUUAAAAUAUCCAAAGAAGAGUUAUCUUUGUUUGAUAAAAUCUGAAAAAACUAGCGAAUUAUAAAAAGGUGAAGCAAUUAAAAUAACAAAAGAAACAAGAAAAAGGUGAGAGACAAUAAAUGAAGAAUGCUGGUAUUGGGCAGAUCAAUAACUCAACCACUCCUCUGACUAACUUUUAUAGUCACUCCUUUACCACUUUUUGAUUCCCUUUCUCAUCUUAAUUCUCAUAACUUAUUUUCUGUUCGUAGUCUUUGUACCUUUCCUACUUUUUUCGUUUCUCUUUCACCCCUCUUACGCGGUUCCUCUAAUUUCUUUUUAUUAUUUUCAUGUUCCUGGGACCAUAGGGUUGAAACAAUAAUUUUUUGGGUAAUAGCUAGUCAACGUAAAUCAAUUAUAGUGUUGGCGAUUGAGUUAUUAAAAUUUUGAGACUGUAAACUGGUAACAGAUGCAGAACAAGAUGCUCUUAUAUCUCCUAUUAAAAUGCAAUUAUUUGGUUGAAAAUAGCUUAGUAAAACAUUUGUAUUAGAUACUUGAUUUGAAAGAUUUUUGCAAGUAGGCUCAACUCAAUAUAGCAUUAGUGGAAGAUAUGGGAACUUAGAUUUUAUUUUUGCUAGAACAAGUAAUAACAUAGUAAAUGAGAAUCCAGUGACAUGUCUCAAAAAGUAAAUCCAAUGUUUUUACUGCGAUAUCUUGAAAUUUGAAAGAGAGAGGGACAGAGAGUGUGGGGACCAGAGACACCCAUGUUUCUUGUCUUGUUUAUCUUUGGUUCUCCACUAAAUUUCUUCAUAAAAAGCCCUUUUUAUUUCUUGAUUCUCUCUUCUAUCAUCACCACUCACUUAUCUUCUUCUCCAUCUCGUCUCUCUCUCUCUCUGUUUCUCUCUUGAUCUUAGCCGGGUCUUGUGGGAGGAGCAAACCGACAGAGAGAUAAUUUUAGAUCAUUAUAAACCAUACAAUGAUUCUUCGAGGGAAGGGGCUUUCUCUUUUGAGGGGAAUGUUGUUUGGCUCGAAGACUCUAGCUUAUCAUGUUAGAUCUUCUUCGAUUUAAUCGAAUCAAACCUCCAUGUUUGAGAUCUGAUUUAGGAUUUUAGGGUCGUCGGACCAGGCUUCAUUCCCCCCAAUUAUUGCUCCCUGCUUACUCUCCAACGUACCCUUUUUCUUAAUUUAGGGUUUCAGAUCUUGUGGUUGAACCCUUUUUAAAGAUACUUUUGCAUGCGAAGAUCAGUAUCUUGAUUCUGGAUAUCGUUUCUCCUUCUAAAUUACCCGCACAAUACAUCUUGUAACCAUUUUCAUAUAUUACUCAAAUGUGAAAAGAUUUCGUUGUCUCAUAGUUAAGCUUAAUCUUGUAUAUGAUAUAGUGGUCUUACUUAAUUAUAUUUCUAUUAUAUAAUUACAUUUGGAGUAUUAUAUUUA